UACGUAGGGGGCGAGCGUUGUCCGGAAUUACUGGGCGUAAAGCGCACGCAGGUGGCUGAGUCAGUCGAUUGUGAAAGCCCUGGGCUUAACCUGGGAAUUGCAGUCGAUACUACUCAGCUAGAGUAUGGGAGAGGGCAGUGGAAUUCCCGGUGUAGCGGUGAAAUGCGUAGAUAUCGGGAGGAACAUCAGUGGCGAAGGCGGCUGCCUGGCCCAAUACUGACACUCAGGUGCGAAAGCGUGGGGAGCAAACAGG
rnacentral:rRNA from 1 species